rnacentral:tRNA from 12 species
CGCGGAGUGGAGCAGUUGGUAGCUCGUCGGGCUCAUAACCCGAAGGUCGUAGGUUCAAGUCCUGCCUCCGCAACCA